UUCAUGGAAUAGCACCUUAUUCACAUUUUUCCUAAAGUAACUAAGAUUGGGAAUUUAAUAAAACAUUUAGUUACUUUAUAAUAUUCAUCAUACUUUGAAUGAGAAUUAAUAAGUCCUUGUCUUACCCGUUCGGCUAACGACCCUCCACCGAUCAAGCAAGCGGUGGGUGAGAGUGGACACCCAUUAAGUCACCAUUUUAUAGGCAACAACCUUAUACCCACCUUAUAGACCGGCUUCGUGAAUGAGGCGUACUAGCGGUAAGACGACUUUGUUCUUAUACAUAUAUAUAUAAUUAUUAAAUCAUAAUAAUAUAAGUAUAAGGGUUGAAUUUUAACUUUUAAAAUUCUAGGGGUUGGAACUAAAGUUUUAACUUAACUUUACUUGUUCCAAAACUUGAGGGCAAGUUUUGUAAACUUUCAAAACUUUUCAUUUCUUGUAACUUAUGAGUUUAAUAGAGUAAUAAAAUGAGGACUUUUCAUUUUUCCUAACUCUUGUGUUCUUUUAAUGGUUUUUAAUCCAAGAGACUUUUGGUUUUCCAUAACUUGAGGACAAGUUAUGGACUCCAUUAAAACACAUUAUGAUCAUGAAUUAAUCUACCACAUAGGUUACAAAUAAUUCCUAUGAUCAUCUAAACAUCAUAAGAACAAGAAUAUGAAUAUGAACACUUUCAAGAAUCAAAAUCACAUUUAAUCUUUGUAAUUUUGAUAACUAGUUGUUGUAAAUGAGUUAGAAAAGACAUUACACCUUCUAAAAUAAGUUUUCAAGUACCAAAACAUUUUAGGGUAAUGAUUCUAAUCCAUUUCCAGCAACUCAAGUCGAAAUUCUGCACUCUGUCGACCCUACUCGCCGAGUGCAUAAACCUACUCGCCGAGUAGGUUGAAGAUACACAUGAACUCGACGAGUCCUCCCCAUGGACUCGCCGAGUCCAUCAGUCAGACAGCAGAAUUUUCGACUUUCUUCAACUUUUAAGCACAAAUAACAAACAAACAAGCCUAGGCUCUGAUACCACUGAUGGGUUUUGAGCAUUCUAACACUUCCUAAGUGUACAUGCAACCCUAAUAACCUUGGAUCUAUGUUUGUCUAAUUAUCAUGCAAAGUUGAAUUCCAAGGUUAUAUUCCUAUCUAGCAUACAUGGGGAACAAUUUUAACUUGAAUCAUAGAUAGAAUAACUUACCUUGUUGUUGCUUGUGUUCCUUGAAACCUUGUGAGCCUAGCACCCCAAGUGUGAUGCCUCAAAUGCUUCACACAACACCAAAUGCUCUUGGAAAGACUCUUGAGAUAACACACACUUCUCAAAAUCGGCCAAGCCCUCUAGUUUCUUAGUGUUCAACUUGUGUAGCCAAUUUUGUGGAGAAUGGGACUCUUAUAUAGUGUUGGCACAUCUAGGGUUACACCAUGUAAACCCUAAUGUGUCAUGACUCUUCAUUUCCAUGACCCAUGGGUUUGUAACUCCCAUGGAGCAUCCAUGGAGCAUCCUAUGGGUAGAACCCAACUUGAUAAUCCAUGGAGCCUCUUAGCCCACUAUACAAGAUAUGGAUGAUUUACAUAAUCAACCCAUAUAUUUAAUUAGUUAUCCUUUGAUCACUUAAUUAAUUCCAAAUUAAUUCUUUGAUCAACUAAUCAAAUAAUAUUAUUAAUAUAUUAGAACUUAUAAUAUAUUAAUAAUCUCCAAGUGUUAUUUCUCUCAUUUAGUCUAUCCAAUUGCAUGGUGCCAUGCAACCCAAAUGGACCAUGCCGGGUCGGGUCAAGUACAAGCCCGAAAUAGUUAUGGACUUAGACACCUUAUCCAACAGUCUCCCACUUGGAUAAGUCUAAUAACUAUAUCUCUAGUACUUCAGGAACCGACCGGCAAUCGUAGCUCUUUCAAGGUCUCUCGGAACUGAGAAGAUGAUGGUACGCCAUUUAAGAUAAGUGAUCAUAUAAUCCUCCGUUCUAGAUAUCAGCCGGACAAAUACAUGGAACAUUGUCUUGCUUAUUGUCCAGCAUUUGUUUCCCGAUUUCCGAUUUGUUUGACAUAGAACUUAAUUGAACACAUCAACUUAGUUCUGACCGGGCCCGGUACAUGGGUCAAAACAAAAUCAUCGAGGGGCCCAGAUAUCAGCUUCUAAUCCAAGAAGGAACAGAUAAACUUCGACUCAUAUGUUUGUUCUACCACUCAUUGAAUUACACACAAAAGUACGUUUUAUAACAUCGAGUUACCAAUGCGGUUUCGUACAGUCAAUGCAUAACCAACUUGUAAGUAACAAAUCAUAUCUCUAGGUUUGAAGACUUAUAUGAUAUUACCGUCUCACGAUCACUCGAGAUAGAAUUCCAUGAAGUGAUUCCAGUGAGCGUGGGUUGAGUCCAAUGCUCAGAACUUAUGAGCACUCAUGAUUGUUGUAGCCUUGUCCAAGACCUCUACAACCAAACAUGACAGUCUUGAUUCAUAUCUACUUCCAACAUAUGACCGACUGUGGAGGUUUGAAUAAUAUGUUAUACCAAACAAAAUUAUUCUGGAAGUCAAAACAUGCAAAAGAAAUAUAGUAAACGAUCGACAAGAGAUAGCAACACUUUACUCAUAAAUAAAACACCUUUUAUUCAUCAUCAAAUGUCAAUUACACUUUACAAAUUUCUGGGUUAUCUAACUACUAAAACUUAUAUCAUCCUUCAGCCCUAUGCUCCGAGCAUGCUGGAGAUGCUUAACCCUACUCAGUCCCUUCGUGAGGGGAUCUGCUGGGUUCUCAUCCGAUGAUACCCUCUUUGCCACGAGGAGUCCUUCUUCGAUCCGAUGUCUAAUGAAAUGGUAUUUUCUGUCGAUGUGUCUGGAUCUCCCAUGAUCCCUUGGUUCCUUGGCUAAGGCAACAGCACUUUCACUAUCACAGAAAAUUUCCAUUGGCUCUUUAAUAGCUGGUACAACUCCAAGGUCUCCAAUGAAGUUCUUCAGCCAUAUCGCCUCCUUUGCUGCUUCACUAGCUGCAAUAUACUCUGAUUCACAAGUAGAAUCUGCCACUGUCUCUUGCUUGGAACUCUUCCAAGAAAUUGCUCCUCCGUUUAGGGUAAAGACCCAGCCCGACUGAGAGCGGAAAUUAUCCCUAUCAGUCUGGAAGCUAGCAUCACUAUACCCUACAACUCUCAAGUCAUCACUCCCACCGAGGGUAAGGACCCAGUCCUUAGUCCUCCGUAGGUACUUGAGGAUAUUCUUUACCGCAGUCCAGUGUGCCUUGCCAGGGUUCGCCUGAUACCUGCUAACCAUGCUCAAGGCAAAAGCUACAUCGGGUCGAGUACACGUCAUAGCAUACAUGAUCGAUCCUACAGCCGAAGCGUAAGGUGUUCGACUCAUUUCUGCUAUCUCAGCCUCAGUGCUAGGGCUUUGUGUCUUACUCAAUCUGGUGUUACUCUGGAUGGGUAACUCUCCUUUCUUGGAAUCCUGCAUGCUGAAUCUCUUCAGCACCUUAUCCAAGUAGGUACUCUGACUAAGUCCAAUUAGUCUUUUACUCCGAUCUCUCAAGAUUCUUAUCCCUAGAAUAUAGGCAGCUUCACCAAGGUCCUUCAUAGCGAAACACUUCCCAAGCCAGGACUUUACUUCCUGCAGGGUUGGAAUGUCGUUUCCUAUGAGUAGUAUGUCAUCCACAUACAAUACCAAAAAGCUAACUAUACUCCCACUAGCCUUGACAUACACACAAGAUUCAUCUUCACUCCUAGAAAAGCCAAAUUCCUUGACCUUUUCAUCAAAGCAAAGAUUCCAUCUGCGAGGUGCUUGCUUCAAUCCAUAAAUGGAUUUCUCAAGCUUACACACUCUAUUAGGGUACUCGUUGCUGACAAAACCCUCUGGCUGACUCAUGUAAACAUCUUCAGCCAACUUUCCAUUAAGGAAAGCGGUUUUGACAUCCAUCUGCCAUAUUUCAUAGUCAUGAAAUGCAGCUAUGGCUAACAGAACCCGAAUAGACUUAAUCUUGGCUACCGGAGAAAAGGUCUCAUCAUAAUCCACUCCAGGAAUUUGAGAGAAGCCCUUUGCAACCAGUCUAGCCUUAUAAGUGUGUACUUUACCAUCCAUGUCGGUCUUCUUCUUGAAGACCCAUUUGCACCCUACUGUCUUACGACCUGGUACAUUUUCAACCAAGUUCCAAACUUGAUUGUCAUACAUGGAUUGUAUCUCGCUAUCCAUAGCCUCUUUCCAUUUAGCAGACUCGGGGCCUGCCAUGGCUUCCUCGUAGCUGUUAGGGUCAUCUUGACUUACUAGUGUCUCAUCACUAAUAAGUGUCUCACCUUCUGCAGUAAUAUGGAAUCCAUAGUAAUGCUCAGGUGCACUCCUAACUCUCGUGGAACGUCUCAGAGGUACAGAUUUGUCAAUUGGCUCAACAGGAGUUUCCUCCUCAAGUUGAGGGCUAGAGUUUGAAGUUCCUUCACCGCUUGAUUCUUGAAUUUCUUCAAGAUCAAUUUGCCUCCCACUGUCUCCUUGGCUUAUAAACUCUCUUUCUCGAAAGACUCCUCUUCUUGCUACAAAGACCACAUUGUCACUAGGUCUGUAGAAGAGGUAACCAAAGGAUCGCUGUGGGUAACCGAUGAAAAUACACCUCUCGCUUCGAGGUUCGAGCUUAUCAUGAGUCUCGCGUCUCACGAAAGCCUCGCAACCCCAAAUCUUGAUGUGGUCUAGUUUAGGUACUUUACCAGUCCACAUCUCGUGAGGAGUUUUGGCAACUUUCUUUGUAGGGACUAGAUUAAGAAUAUGGGCGGCAGUCUCUAAGGCAUACCCCCAGAAUGAGAUUGGUAGCGUAGCUCGACUCAUCAUGGAACGAACCAUAUCUAACAAGGUUCGAUUACGCCUCUCAGCCACACCAUUCAACUGUGGUGUCCUGGGAGGUGUCAAUUGUGAGACUAUCCCACAUUCCCUUAGAUAGUCGAGGAACUCUGAACUAAGAUACUCACCACCACGAUCGGAUCGAAGCAUCUUAAUGUUCCUGCCCAAUUGAUUCUCGACUUCCUGUUUAAAUUCCUUAAACCUCUCGAAAGUCUCUGACUUAUGCUUGAUCAAGUAGACAUAUCCAUAUCUACUAUAAUCAUCAGUAAAAGUCAAAUAAUAACGAUUAGCAUCCCUUGUGGCAUGUUUGAAUGGUCCACACACAUCCGUGUGUAUAAGGUCCAACAAACCUUCACCCCUCUCACACGAACCUGUGAAGGGUGACUUUGUCAUUUUUCCAAGUAAGCAUGAUUCGCAACUAUCAUCUGACUUUAGGUCAAACGACUCCAAGACUCCAUCCUUUUGGAGUUGGCCUAUGCGUUUCUUGCUUAUAUGUCCAAGACGACAAUGCCAUAAAGAUGCUUUAUCCAAGUUAUUAUUAGUAGAAUCAAUACACAAAACAUUAUUUCCCAAGUUAUCUACAACAGAUACAGCUUCAUACACACCAUCACAAGGUAAUGCUUUAAAAUAAAAGACAUUAUUAUAGAAAACAUCUAUAGAACCAACUUCAUUAUUAAAUGAAAAGGUAAACCCUUGUUUGUACAAAGCAUGAAAGGAAAUAAUAUUUCUUGCCAUUCCUGGCGAAUAACAACACUUAUUCAAAUCUAAACUAAACCCACUACUUAGCGAUAAAGUAUAAACUCCAAUCUUGGUAACAGGUAUAGCUUUCCUAUUCCCCAUGAUCAAGUUUAUCCUUCCUUGCUCCACAUCCUCACUUCUUCUUAGUCCCUGCAAGUCACAACAAAUGUGAAUACCACACCCGGUAUCAAGGACCCAAGAAUUAGAAUGGGGUGAGUUAUUAGAAAUGAUAGUGUAAAUACCUGCAUGGUUGGGUUUAACUUUCCCAUCCUUCACAUCUUGCUGGUAUUUUGGGCAGUUCCGCUUCCAAUGAGCUUUUUCAUGGCAAUAGAAGCAUUCAGCCUCUUUUGGGUCAGAAGAAGGAGUAACGAAACCUUUCUUGGUUCCACUUGAAGAAGAGCCAUCAAGGGUCCGAGCCUUGGUACCCUUAGAAGAGCUCUUUCUCUUCCUCCCUCGACUUUUCCCGAUUGCCAAAACCGGAGUAGAGUUUUGAGUAGGAGUGAUAGCAACCGACUUCCCCUUAAGACCUGUUUCUGCGGUCUUGAGAAGUCCCUGAAGUUUGCUGAGGGUGACUUCUUCCUUGUUCAUGUGAUAUGUCAUGCGGAAUUGAUCAUAGCACGAUGGUAAGGAAUGCAAAAUAAUAUCUAUUGCAAGAUCCUCCGGGAAGUUCACAUUAAGCUUCAGCAAACGAUCCACAUACCUUUGCAUUUUCUGCAUGUGGCUCGUGACGGAUUCCCCGUCCUUCAUCAUGGUUGUUAUCAUGGAGCAGAUGAUUUCAUAACUCUCUUGUCGUGCACUUUGAUGGUAUCUUUCCAUCAGAUAUUUGUGCAUUUCAUAAGGGUAGAAAUCUUCAUAAGACUUUUGGAGUUCCGCUGUCAUCGUGGCCAUCAUGAUGCAUGCCACUUUCGUAGCAUCCCUUUCAUGUGCCCGAAAUUCAGCGAUCUCCUGAGGAGUUGCAGUGGACUCAUCAAUCUCCUUAAGCUCCUUGUCAAGGACAUAUUCUUUGUCCUCGUAGCGGGUAAUCAUCCUGAUGUUUCUGAUCCACUCAUUGAAGUUGGAUCCAUCAAAGGUGACUUUCCCACACAAGUUCAUAAGGGUAAAGGAGCCAUUAGGAUUAGAGCCAGAAGCAUUGUUGAAAGACAUCUGAAGGAAAGAGGACAAGAUUAGUUUAGAUAUAAGAGAGUCCUUAAUAAAACACCCAAAUGUAAUAUUAAGGCUAGGAUCCAAUCACAAUAUAUUAUAACUUAGAAGAGGUAUGCCGUAAUCCAAGCUAUAACAUAUUUGAAAGGUAGGUGAAUGACGAUUCACCAAUUUCCACCACGAAAACCGAAAUAUUAAGUAUUAGGUUUUUUGAUUGGUUCUUAGAAAUUCCUAGAUUCUUUGAGAUUCAAUGAACUUUUCAAAGGCAUGUUUCAAUCUCGAGUGUGCCCUCCAAGUUUUGUGACUGGGAUACCGAGGAUCACAAAACGAGGUGUGAAGUAACCAUGCAAAUCACUUGGUACCCUUAAAGUUUAUCACUCAAUCGAUGUGCCGGUAAACCACACACGCUCCACCGAUACCAUAAUAAACCUUAAGUCACCGUUUACCUACCUUGUUAAGUCCAUGUUAGUGUGCCGGUUAACCACACACGCUCCACCAACGACUUAAACAAAGUGUAAAGUGUAAUUUCAUGGAUUAGCACCUUAUUCACAUUUUUUUUCCUGAAGUAACUAAGAUUGGGAAUUCAAUAAAACAUUUUAGUUACUUUAUAAUAUUCAUCAUACUUUAAAUGAGAAUUUAUAAGUCCUUGUCUUACCCAUUCGGCUAACGACCCUCCACCGAUCAAGCAAGCGGUGGGUGAGAGUGGACACCCAUUAAGUCACCAUUUUAUAGGCAACAACCUUAUACCCACCUUAUAGACCGGCUUCGUGAAUGAGGCGUACUAGCGGUAAGACGACUUUGUUCUUAUACAUAUAUAUAUAAUUAUU
rnacentral:lncRNA from 1 species